CACGUAGGGUCCGAGCGUUGUCCGGAAUUACUGGGCGUAAAGCGCGCGCAGGCGGUCGGGUUCGUCGCUGGUGAAAGCCCCACGCUCAACGUGGGAAGGUCCGGCGAGACAGCCCGACUGGAGGCAGGGAGAGGGCGGUGGAAUUCCGGGUGUAGUGGUGAAAUGCGUAGAGAUCCGGAGGAACACCAGAGGCGAAGGCGGCCGACUGGACCUGACCUGACGCUGAGGCGCGAAAGCUAGGGGAGCGAACAGG
rnacentral:rRNA from 1 species